rnacentral:rRNA from 1 species
AUUGAACGCUGGCGGCAUGCCUUACACAUGCAAGUCGAACGGCAGCACGGGGCAACCUGGUGGCGAGUGGCGAACGGGUGAGUAAUGCAUCGGAACGUACCUUUCAGUGGGGGAUAACGUAGCGAAAGUUACGCUAAUACCGCAUAUUCUGUGAGCAGGAAAGCAGGGGAUCGCAAGACCUUGCGCUGAUUGAGCGGCCGAUGUCAGAUUAGCUAGUUGGUGAGGUAAAGGCCCACCAAGGCGACGAUCUGUAGCGGGUCUGAGAGGAUGAUCCGCCACACUGGAACUGAGAUACGGUCCAGACUCCUACGGGAGGCAGCAGUGGGGAAUUUUGGACAAUGGGGGCAACCCUGAUCCAGCCAUGCCGCGUGAGUGAAGAAGGCCUUCGGGUUGUAAAGCUCUUUCGGCCGGGAAGAAAUCGCACGGGCUAAUACCCUGUGUGGAUGACGGUACCGGAAUAAGAAGCACCGGCUAACUACGUGCCAGCCGCCACCGUAACAG